rnacentral:sRNA from 1 species
GCCAGGUGCAGUGGCAUACACCUGUAAUCCCAGCAGCUUGGGAGGCUGAGUCAGGAGGAUCACAAGUUCAAAGCCAGCCUUAGCAAUUUAGUGAGACCUUCAGCAACUUAGUGAGAUCUUGUCUCAA